UUUUUAAUUUUUAGUAAUAGAAAUUUAGGAAAUUGUGUUUUUUGAUUAGUAGUGUUUUGAUUUGUUAUUUUUUGUAGAUACCUACCUAAUAGUUAUUUGUGGUUAUAUGUGAAAAUAAGUUAUUUGACCUAAGGUUCAGGAUAGAAGAUAUUUUGGAAGCUGCAGUUUUCGGUGCUUUUAGUGACGAAGAGGAUGAUAUGGAGGAUGCUAUGAUUUUGCACAUUUUUGAUGGCGAAAAUGUCGGAAAUAGAGCUGACUGGUAUGGUAGAUUUAAUCUGGAAAAUGUUUCCAAUGUUGGGGCGAAAAGACUUUUUCAUUUCGAAAAAGAGCACAUUCCCAGACUUGCUGCUGCAUUGGAUAUACCAAAUAAUAUUAAUGUUCAUAACAUUAGCUCAAGUGGAGUUACAGCACUGUGCAUACUCUUACGAAUACUCUCUUACCCCAACCGACUGGGAGAGUUGGAGAUAUUAUUUGGAUAAUCCUAUAGUGUCCCUUUUAAAAUUUUUUAAUGGGUUUUUUUUAGGUCAUAGCUGAAAAGGGAGCUCCAAUGAACAAUAUAUGGGCGUUUAUUGAUGGUAACUGUACGACCUAUUUGUAGGCCAUCAAUAAACCAGAGAUUGUACUACUCAGGGUACAAGAAAGUACACUGUGUUAAAUAUCAAU